ACUAUCUUGGUGGCUAUUAACAACAAACCAAUGAAUGUCACAGUUUUGCUAACAGGUAGCCAGGUGGUGCUUGUCCGGUCGCAGUGGAAAGGCCUAAAUUAUUAUUUGUUGUUGUAAAAUACUUUUCCGGUUGGGUAACUACGCCUAAGCAGGAAAAUGAGCAGAGCGCAGCUAGCUCGCGGGGAAUAUGACUCAACAUGACCAAGUAGCGAGUUCUCAAAAAAAGUGUCGCUACUUGAAAUCAAGAGCCCCUUGAAGGGUUCUGAAUAGCUUUAAUAGACGAGGCGGACAUGUAUAACUGGGAAAUUGGUAUUUUCGGACCCCCAAAUACACAUUACAAACGGGAGUAUUUCAAGAGACAGCCCUUUCGUGAUGCAUGGCUCUGUGAGUGACAGCACACCUCAAGGCCCUGUGAGUGACGUCACACCUCGAGGCCCUGCUCUUGUGAAAUUCCCCAUCGAUUACUCCUACUCACCACCUGCCUUCAGGGUCGUCGCCAGAAGGUGGCACCCCGACCUUUAUGAGGACCAUCCCGCUGAGUGUGAUCUCCCUGCUGAAUAAGCCCACGCCUCCUCACAGGCCAACAUGGAGGUCUGUCGUGUGUCAAAGUUGGGGAGACAACAGCGGAAGGACAGAGUACGCUGAUAUGAUGAGGAAGUAGGUGAUGUCCAGCAGAGGAGAGGCGGAGCGGGACAGGAAGAAGGUGCCUGCCACACUGGCGGAAUUCUGCGAGCCAUC